ensembl:snRNA LOC120095721 U7 small nuclear RNA
CAGUUUUUUUUUUAUUGGAAUUUGUCUAGCAGGUUUUCUGAUGUUGAUCAGAAAACUAAA